rnacentral:rRNA from 1 species
ACCAGACUCCUACGGGAGGCAGCAGUGGGGAAUAUUGCACAAUGGGGGAAACCCUGAUGCAGCGACGCCGCGUGAGUGAAGAAGUAUUUCGGUAUGUAAAGCUCUAUCAGCAGGGAAGAAAAUGACGGUACCUGAUUAAGAAGCCCCGGCUAACUACGUGCCAGCAGCCGCGGUAAUACGUAGGGGGCAAGCGUUAUCCGGAUUUACUGGGUGUAAAGGGAGCGUAGACGGUGAUGCAAGUCAGAAGUGAAAGCCCGGGGCUCAACUCCGGGACUGCUUGUGAAACUGUGUAACUGGAGUGCAGGAGAGGUAAGCGGAAUUCCUGGUGUAGCGGUGAAAUGCGUAGAUAUCAGGAGGAACACCAGUGGCGAAGGCGGCUUACUGGACUGUAACUGACGUUGAGGCUCGAAAGCGUGGGGAGCAAACAGGAUUAGAUACCCUCGUA